rnacentral:rRNA from 1 species
CCUACGGGGCGCACCAGUGGGGAAUAUUGCACAAUGGGCGCAAGCCUGAUGCAGCGACGCCGCGUGAGGGAUGACGGCCUUCGGGUUGUAAACCUCUUUCAGCAGGGAAGAAGCGAAAGUGGCGGUACCUGCAGAAGAAGCGCCGGCUAACUACGUGCCAGCAGCCGCGGUAAUACGUAGGGCGCAAGCGUUGUCCGGAAUUAUUGGGCGUAAAGAGCUCGUAGGCGGUUUGUCGCGUCUGCUGUGAAAGCCCGGGGCUUAACCCCGGGUGUGCAGUGGGUACGGGCAGGCUAGAGUGCAGUAGGGGUAACUGGAAUUCCUGGUGUAGCGGUGAAAUGCGCAGAUAUCAGGAAGAACACCGAUGGCGAAGGCAGGUUACUGGGCUGUUACUGACGCUGAGGAGCGAAAGCAUGGGGAGCGAACAGGAUUAGAUACCCCUGUAGUC